UACGUAGGGGGCUAGCGUUGUCCGGAAUCAUUGGGCGUAAAGCGCGUGUAGGCGGUUCGGUAAGUCCGCUGUGAAAGUCGGGGGCUCAACCCUCGAAUGCCGGUGGAUACUGUCGGACUAGAGUACGGAAGAGGCGAGUGGAAUUCCUGGUGUAGCGGUGAAAUGCGCAGAUAUCAGGAAGAACACCAAUGGCGAAGGCAGCUCUCUGGGACGGUACUGACACUGAGACGCGAAAGCGUGGGGAGCGAACAGG
rnacentral:rRNA from 1 species